CGUAGGAGGCGAGCGUUAUCCGGAUUCACUGGGCGUAAAGCGCGUGCGGGUGGCGCGGUAAGUUGGGCGUGAAAUCUCCCGGCUCAACUGGGAGAGGUCGUCCAAUACUACCGUGCUUGAGAGCAGAAGAGGAAGAUGGAAUUCCCGGUGUAGUGGUGAAAUGCGUAGAUAUCGGGAGGGACACCAGUGGCGAAGGCGAUCUUCUGGUCUGUUUCUGACACUCAGACGCGACAGCUAGGGUAGUAAACGGGAUUAGAGACCCCGGUAAUCCUAGCCGUAAACGAUGUGAACUUGGCGUUGGUGGGUUAAACUCCAUCAGUGCCGUAGCAAACGCGAUAAGUUCACCGCCUGGGGACUACGGCCGCAAGGUUA
rnacentral:rRNA from 1 species